rnacentral:tRNA from 1 species
GCGGGUAUAGCUCAAUGGCAGAGCGCUGGCCUUCCAAGCCGGCGACGCGGGUUCGAUUCCCGCUACCCGCU